GGAAUUUUUCGCAAUGGGGGAAACCCUGACGAAGCAACGCCGCGUGGAGGAUGAAGGCCUUCGGGUUGUAAACUCCUGUCGACCGGGAAGAAAACUAUCUGACCCAAUACGUCAGGUAGCCGACUGUACCGGUGGAGGAAGCCACGGCUAACUCUGUGCCCGCAGCCGCGGUAAUACAGAGGUGGCAAGCGUUGUUCGGAAUUACUGGGCGUAAAGGGCGCGUAGGCGGUCUUUUAAGUCUUGUGUGAAAUCCCUCGGCUCAACUGAGGAACUGCACGGGAUACUGGAAGACUUGAGUUCGGGAGAGGGAAGCGGAAUUCCGGGUGUAGCGGUGAAAUGCGUAGAUAUCCGGAGGAACACCGGUGGCGAAGGCGGCUUCCUGGACCGAUCACUGACGCUGAGGCGCGAAAGCUAGGGGAGCAAAC
rnacentral:rRNA from 1 species